rnacentral:rRNA from 1 species
UAGAGUUUUGAUCCUGGCUCAGGAUGAACGCUGGCGGCGUGCUUAACACAUGCAAGUCGAACGGAACUAUCCGAUUGAGAAUCUUCGGAAAGGAUUUGGUUUAGUUUAGUGGCGGACGGGUGAGUAACGCGUGGGUAACCUGCCCUAGUACAGGGGGAUAACAGUUGGAAACGACUGUUAAUACCGCAUAAGCGCACAGGAGCGCAUGCUCCGGUGUGAAAAACUCCGGUGGUAUAGGAUGGACCCGCGUCUGAUUAGCUGGUUGGCGGGGUAACGGCCCACCAAGGCGACGAUCAGUAGCCGGGCUGAGAGGGUGAACGGCCACAUUGGGACUGAGACACGGCCCAAACUCCUACGGGAGGCAGCAGUGGGGAAUAUUGCACAAUGGGGGGAACCCUGAUGCAGCGACGCCGCGUGAGCGAAGAAGUAUUUCGGUAUGUAAAGCUCUAUCAGCAGGGAAGAAAAUGACGGUACCUGACUAAGAAGCCCCGGCUAACUACGUG